rnacentral:lncRNA from 1 species
UCACGUGACACUGGCCUUGCAAAUGUUCGACAGGCUCGGCCUCCUGGUCAACGUGCCCAAGUCCACGUUAGUUCCCACACAGAGACUGGACUUCAUAGGUGCAACCCUGGACUCGGUGACCGCGCGGGCAAGCCUCCCAGAGUCACGGUUCCUGACAAUUCAGAGGGCCGUAAGCUCAGUCCAAAAAUUCCCCACGACAACGGCAAGGUGUUGCAUGCAGCUCCUGGGACACAUGGCAGCCUGCACACAUGUGGUCAGACAUGCCCGCCUAAGGCUCCGGCCUUUGCAGUUGUGGUUUGCCCAAACGUACCGCCCCAACAGAGACCCCUUGGAUCUAGUGGUGACGAUCCCAGAUCGGGUGUUGGGCUCGCUCUGCUGGUGGCUCGAUCAACAGCAGGUCUGCGAAGGGAUCCCCUUCGCUGCCCCACAGCCCACUCUGACGUUAGUAACAGAUGCAUCGGACCUGGGUUGGGGGGCGCAUCUGGGGGAACUGCGGACCCAAGGGUUGUGGUCCAGAGAAGACAAACUGCUUCACAUCAAUCUAAAGGAGCUAAGAGCGGUUCGCCUCGCCUGUCAGACCUUCCACGCCACCAUAGAAGGUCACAGCGUGGCAGUCCUGACGGACAACACUACCACCAUGUUAUAUAUAAACAAGCAGGGCGGGUCCCGGUCCUCUCCCCUCUGUCGCGAGGCACUCCACUUAUGGGACUUUUGUAUAGCCCAUGCGAUCCACCUCAUCGCAACGUAUCUCCCGGGGAUCCAGAACGGCUUAGCGGACCGCCUCAGCCGAUCCUACCGAAUGCACGAAUGGGCGUUGAGGCGAGACGUCCUGCAUUCAAACUUCCGGAGGUGGGGCUUUCCCCGGGUGGAUCUGUUCGCCACCAAGGACAACAGUCAAUGCCCUCAGUUCUGCUCAUUUCAGAACCUCAGCCCGGGAUCGUUAGCAGAUGCCUUCACGAUCCCAUGGGGAUGGAGCCUGAGGUAUGCCUUCCCUCCGUUCCCGCUCAUACACAAGGUCCUCCUCAUCGCCCCGGCCUGGCCACGCCAGCAUUGGUUCACGACCCUGCUGGAAUUGUCCAUAGCCGACCCGAUCACCCUCCCCCUCCAUCGCGACCUAGUCACACAAGACAAGGGUCGCCUGCUCCACCCGAACCUGUCAUCGCUACAUCUCACGGCGUGGUAUCUCUCUGGCUGAAUGAUGCGAAACACAGGUGCUCUCACCAGGUUCAACAAAUCCUCCUUAGUAGUAGGAAGCCCUCCACAAGAGCGACCUACCUGGCCAAAUGGAAAAGGUUCUCCCACUGGUGCGAGCCUCAGCACAUACAGCCUUUACAGGCCUCAGUUCCGUCGAUCC